GCUAUCGUAGCUUAACUAAAGCACAACACUGAAGAUGUUGAGAUAGGCCCUAGAAAGCCUCGAAAGCA
rnacentral:tRNA from 1 species